GGAUGCGAUCAUACCAGCACUAAAGCACCGGAUCCCAUCAGAACUUCGUAGUUAAGCGUGCUUGGGCGAGAGUAGUACUAGGAUGGGUGACCUCCUGGGAAGUCCUCGUGUUGCAUUCA
rnacentral:rRNA from 1 species